ensembl:lncRNA
UUUUUUUUGAAAGAAACAAAGGUUAAAUGGGGGAUUAAAGUAAAAUUGAGAGACCCUUUAAACCAUUGUCAGUAUGCACAAUGCCUCUGAUUCUGCAGAGUUUUAGAAACUUGGUGGCACUUAUUAAUCCUCUUGGCCCCUUUCCACUCUAAUGGAUAGUGUACAUUCUUCUUAAAGUCCACAACAGCAGAUUUUCUUACAGUAAAUUUUGCAGAUGCAAAAUAUUCUAAUUGAUAUAUGUGCUGGAAGACUGAGUAUUGAUGGGGGAGUGGACCAGACAAGAGGUAAGAUGAAACAGAAGUGUGUUUAUAAUUGUUUGUGACUAUUUUCUAUAAUAAUUAGUACUAUUUAAUGGUGAGCUUUUAAAAGUGUAGGAUAGAGGGUACAGUGGCACUGUAUAUACUAUUUAUAGUCUCAGCUACUAGGGAGGCUGAGGCAAGAGGCUUGAGACCAGGAGCUCGAGGCUGUAAUGUGCCAUGAUGAUUGCACCUGCGAAUAGCCACUGCACUCCAGCCUGGGCAAUAUAGCAAGACCCCAUCUCUUUAAAAAAUUUUAGAACUUUUUUAAAAUCAAAGUGCAGAUUGCUUGUAUGUAAAACCCAAAUAGAGUAAGUGUGAUAUAUGGGAGUAUUAAAAUAGCUUAAAAUUUCUAGUGAAGGACAUGUGGCUAAAGGGUCAAAAAGGAUGUAAGACUUGGAGCCAGAGCAUAGUAUUUCCUGAAAUAACAAGUUUAGUGCUUUAACUAUGGCUACAUGUGCUUAAGGAAUUUUGAGCCACUUAUUUUUGAAGAUGCUGAGGACAUGUAGAGUGCUUUUUUUGUAGUGAGCUAACCUUGAUCUCUAAGGACUAACUACCCAGGUCCAGGUCUUCACUAGGGAUGCUGACAGUGUUUAAGCUUUACUCCACCUCCUUACUUAGAAAUCACUUUACAAUUUAUUUCCAUUUUCCACUUUUAUAGACCAUCCUUUUGCUUAUAUGCUAGAUUUUUCUGGUGAGGGAAGGGUUGUGUUCUUCAGGGGUCUUUUGUUUUAAAAUACUCAGGAUGGGGAGAGGUUUAUUUAAGAACGAAUUAUAAUUAUGGUUUACACUGUUGGGAGUAAAGGAGCAUUUUUACACCCCUUAAGGGUGCUUAAUUCUGUUGAAACCAAAAAGAUUUAUCUACAAAUGCUAUCUUUUUUAGAAACUAUUAGAAAUGACUCCCUUUCAAAGUCAAUCUUUGGAAAAUACUGAGGAGGUCACUAAUUAGUUGGUGCAGUUAAUAUAAUUCAAGAUGAUUUGGAUGAUGGGAAGUUUGAGACCGCUGCAUUUUGUUUUUAAAUUAUGCACCUUCUGAUAACCCCCAAAUACAGAAAUGUUCUACAUCUCUGAAUGACCUCUGACUUUAAAAAAGUUUUUAUUUGCAUGGCUGUAUUUACAUUAACACUGACAUUUUCUUCUACUCUUCUCCCUUCUUUCACCUUGGGGUUGGGUAGAGAAACACAAAGAAAACUGAAGCAUGUGCCAUUCUAUACUGUCAUUCCAAAUUCUCAUGGACUAUUGCCUGUUGUGAAAAUAUUUGAAACUGCACUGAAAGCUGCAUCUGUAUCUUUCUUUUGUAAAUGACCUCACAUGUAAAUUCACCAAAUAAAUAUUACAUUCAA